ensembl:lncRNA
GGUAAAUGUAGAGAGUGUCAAUCAAAGGCAGAGCUCAGAGCUGGGAAGAAAGCUCUAGAUGGCGGCUGUGCCUUGGAGAGCGCGCUGAGCCUCCUGCCUUUUUUCCCCCUCUCUCCUCCGCCACUUUUGCGCAACUUUGUGUAACUUUUGGGCGUCCUCAAGGGGCUCCUGCGGCCCCUGGUCUCUUGUGGAGGCCAGUGCUAGGGGGAUCGUGCGUUUUUCGGGCAGAAAAGCAGCUUUGGGGGGACUUUUUUUCCCCCUCUCCCUUCGCCUGGUUAGAAAGAAACAGCCCAGGUCGUUGUUUUUCCCAGCUUGGAAGCCAUGGCGUACCUCCAUUUUUGUGCGCUCUCCUAAUGAGCUUUUUCCUCCGGAUCUUCUUUUUUUCUCCUUUUUUUUUAAAUAUUCCUUUACGGCUUUAAUGAUUGCCGAUGGCAACUAAGCAAUUGCGGGAUCGUGUGGAUUAAUUUCGAAUGUGUUAUUUUUUAAAAGAAGGCGGAUUUUGUUUUUUUUCUUGCCUGCGUUGCGUUUGGAACGCUUCGGAAGCGAAUGUUUUCCCACGACUAGAAACCGGGUUGGGGCUGGCGUUGGAGCCUGGCUCAGUAAAUACCUGGGCACAGGACUUCAGCCCAAAUCCAGCCAUCCUUCUACCUUUCCCUUAAUACUUUAAGAAUUGAAAGAUGUUGAGAAAUACGGACAAAAGCCAAGGAGAGGAGGGUUCAGUGCACAGCCAUGCAUCGAGUCACUCAGCGUCUGAAGAGGGCUCGGGUUCCGACUCAGGGAGCCAGUCAGACAGCGAGCAAGGCAGUGAUCAUGGAAGUGAAACCAACAGCAGCUCCGAGUCUUCGGGAAGUCAAUCCGAAUCAGAGAGCGGGUCCACAGCAUCCAAGUCUCGGCAGACCCCUCCGGAAGCUAAGGAGAAACCAGCAUCCAAGAAAGAAAGGAUAGCUGAUGUCAAAAAAAUGUGGGAAGAGUAUCCCGAUGUUUAUGGGGUGAGACGAUCCAACCGUAGCAGACAGGAGCCUUCGCGUUUUACUAUAAAUGACGAGGGGCAUAGCGAGUCUGAAAGUGAGAGUCCCAAACGAAGAAGCUCAAGGCAAGUGAGAAAAAUAGGUAAAUGGAAAAGGGAGGGAUCUAGGGAUGAUGACGAAGAUGAUGUUGAAGAUCAAGGCUCCAGUGGAGAGAGUGAACAAGAAGUGAAGCAAGUGAGGUCCAGAAGACUUAGUUCAAGAAGAGCAGUGACCAAAUCCAUCCCAAAAAGGAGCAGCAAACCGCAACGGCCGAAGAGGCGGAGGAAAACCGAAUCAUCAGAGGAAGAGGAGGAGGAGGAGGAGGAUGAGACUCCCAAAAGGCAAACUAAGCGCCGAGCAGCCAAAAAUGUCAGUUACAAGGAAGACGAUGACUUUGAGACCGAUUCAGACGACUUGAUUGAGAUGACAGGUGAAGGGGCGGAGGAGCAGCAAAAUAACAGCGAAACCAUUGAGAAAGUGCUGGAGAGGAGAAUAGGCAGGAAAGGAGCCACUGGGGCCUCCACCACUGUCUACUCAAUGGAAGCCAACGGUGAUCCCUGUGCCGAUUUUGAUCCAGAAAAGGAGGAAGGGGAAGUGCAGUACUUGGUUAAAUGGAAAGGUUGGUCAUACAUCCACAGCACAUGGGAAAGUGAGGACUCCUUGCAGCAGCAGAAAGUGAAAGGCAUUAAGAAGCUGGAGAACUUCAAGAAGAAAGAAGAAGACAUCAACAGUUGGUUGGAAAAGGUCACCCCAGAAGACGUAGAGUAUUUCAACUGCCAACAGGAACUGGCAGCUGAGUUGAACAAACAGUACCAGAUUGUGGAAAGAGUGAUUGUUCACAACCGCAAGUCCUCCUCUAAUGAGCCAGAGUACCUUUGCAAGUGGAUGGGACUUCCCUACGCAGAAUGUAGCUGGGAAGAUGAAGCUCUGAUCAGCAAAAAAUUCCAGUACUGUAUUGAUAGCUUCAACAAUAGGAACAACUCCAAAGCCAUGCCUACUCGGGACUGCAAGGUGCUGAAGCAAAGGCCUCGUUUUGUGGCCUUGAAGAACCAACCUUCCUACAUUGGUGGGGAGAAUCUGGAACUCCGCGACUAUCAGCUGGAGGGCUUGAAUUGGUUGGCUCAUUCUUGGUGCAAGAACAACAGUGUCAUCCUGGCGGACGAGAUGGGCUUGGGGAAGACCAUCCAGACCAUUUCUUUCCUCUGCUACCUCUUCUAUCAGCACCAGCUCUAUGGCCCCUUUCUGAUUGUGGUGCCUUUGUCAACCCUAACCUCAUGGCAGAGGGAGUUUGAGAUCUGGGCCCCUGAGGUCAACGUGGUUGUGUACAUUGGAGAUCAGCUGAGCAGGAAUAUCCGUGAGUAUGAGUGGGUCCAUUCUCAGACCAAACGGUUGAAGUUCAACGUGCUGAUUACAACCUAUGAGAUCCUCCUGAAAGACAAGGCCGUUUUGGGAAGCAUCAACUGGGCCUUCCUAGGAGUGGAUGAAGCCCACCGCUUGAAGAAUGACGAUUCUUUGCUCUACAAGACACUGAUCGACUUCAAGUCCAACCACCGCCUGCUCAUCACUGGGACACCCCUUCAGAAUUCCCUGAAGGAACUGUGGUCCCUGCUGCAAUUCAUCAUGCCAGAGAAGUUCGAAUCCUGGGAAGACUUUGAAGAGGACCAUGGCAAAGGACGAGAGAACGGGUACCAGAGCCUGCAUAAGGUCCUGGAGCCCUUUCUCCUGCGCAGGGUGAAGAAGGACGUGGAAAAAUCCCUCCCAGCCAAAGUAGAGCAGAUCCUGAGGGUGGAGAUGUCUGCCCUCCAGAAGCAGUAUUACAAAUGGAUUUUAACAAGGAAUUACAAAGCCCUGUCCAAGGGAACACGUGGCAGCACUUCUGGCUUCCUGAACAUCGUGAUGGAGCUGAAGAAAUGUUGCAAUCACUGUUACCUGAUCAAACCUCCAGAAGAGAAUGAGAGGGAAAACAGCCAGGAGAGGCUGCAGUCUUUAAUCAGGAGCAGUGGGAAACUCAUCCUUCUGGACAAACUGCUCAGCAGGCUCCGUGCGAGGGGCAACCGAGUCCUCAUCUUCUCCCAGAUGGUGAGAAUGUUGGACAUCUUGGCGGAAUAUCUGACCAUCAAGCACUACCCUUUCCAGCGCCUGGACGGUUCUAUCAAAGGAGAAAUCCGGAAGCAGGCUCUGGAUCAUUUCAACGCCGAAGGCUCGGAGGACUUCUGCUUUCUACUCUCCACACGUGCUGGCGGCCUGGGGAUCAACUUGGCGUCGGCUGACACAGUGGUGAUCUUCGAUUCGGACUGGAACCCCCAGAAUGACCUACAGGCUCAGGCUCGGGCUCAUCGGAUUGGCCAAAAGAAACAAGUAAAUAUCUAUCGCUUGGUUACAAAGGGAACAGUGGAAGAGGAGAUUAUAGAAAGAGCAAAGAAGAAAAUGGUGCUGGACCAUCUUGUGAUACAGCGAAUGGACACCACAGGCCGGACAGUUUUGGACAACAGCUCUGAUAGAUCCAAGACAAACCCCUUCAACAAGGAGGAACUGACCGCCAUUUUGAAAUUUGGAGCCGAAGAACUUUUUAAAGAACCCGAAGGGGAAGAAUCUGAACCACAAGAAAUGGACAUUGAGGAAAUCUUACGCCUGGCUGAGACACGAGAGAAUGAACCAUCCACAAGUGCAACAGACGAACUGCUUUCACAAUUUAAAGUAGCAAACUUUGCUACAACAGAAGAGGAAGAAGCCGAGGCGGAAGAGAAAUCUCAGAAGGAGUGGGAAAGCAUCAUUCCUGAGGAACAAAGGAAGAAAGUGGAAGAAGAGGAGCGGCAGAAAGAACUUGAGGAGAUAUACAUGCUGCCCAGGAUUCGCAGCUCAGCCAAAAAGGUAAUUUUUCUAGCAGAGUCAAAAAUUUGCUAUGGAGCACCUUUAUUACGUUCCAUCUCCCUUUUUAGACUGGAAUGCCUCGCUCGGGAUGCUGAACUGGUAGAGAAAUCGGUAGCUGAUCUGAAACGUUUGGGAGAACUUCUCCAUAACAGUUGUGCUUCAGAAAGGGGCUUUCUAAAGGGGCCCACAAUUAAGAUCUCUGGAGUCCAGGUGAAUGUGAAAGCAAUUAUUCAACAUGAGGAGGAGUUUGCGAUGCUCCAUCAGACCAUUCCCAGUGACCCAGUGGAGAGGGCAAGGUUUCGUCUGAACUCCCGUGUCAAAUCUGCCCAUUUUGAUGUAGACUGGGGAGUGGAAGAGGAUUCUUCCUUGCUGCGGGGGAUUUAUGAGCAUGGAUGUGGGAACUGGGAGCUCAUCAAGUCAGACCCAGAACUGAACCUCACUGAAAAGAUUUUACCAGCUGAGACAGAUAAAAAGCCACAGGGGAAGCAGCUCCAGGCGCGAGUAGAUUAUCUGAUGAAGCUUAUCAAAAGAGACAUGAAGAGGAAAGAGAACCCGAACAAGACAGAGGAGGUCAGUUCCGUAACCAAGCUAAAUUUGCUCAAGUGGGCUUCAUUAAUGCUACGUAUUAUUUGGGAAGUUAGCCCAUGGAAAACUCAGGCUUCCAGUCAGUGUGGCAGAAAUCAUGGACACAGGAAGGAAGGGGCUAAAGUAAAGAAAUGGAAGGGGCCCUUUAUCAGGAUGCUUUCUCCUCUUCUCUUUUCACAGCCCAAAGGCGCCGAGGCCAAACCCGGAAACCAAGGGAAGAAACUGCUGGGUCAGGGUCCCGUCCACAUUACGGCAGGAAGUGACCCUGUCCCCAUUGAAGAAGAGGAAGAGGAUGAGUUAGACCAUGCAACCUUCACCAUUUGCAAAGAGCUGAUGAGGCCAGUUAAGAAGUCCCUGAAGCAGCUGGAUAAGCCAGAAAGAGGACUUACAGACCACGACCAGCUGGAGCAAACACGGAGUUGCCUACUCAAGAUCGGAGACCACAUUGCUGAAUGUUUGAAAAUCCACACUGAACAGGAAGUCUUUAACGUAUGGAGAAGGAAUCUAUGGGUAUUUGUCUCCAAGUUUACUGAAUUUAAUGCCAAGAAAUUACAUAAGAUAUAUAAGAUGGCUAACAAAAAGCGAUCCCGGGAACAGGAGGUAAGAACAGAGGUGUGUGUGUUUGUGUUGUCAUUCCAAGACCUAGAUAGGGUCAUCUUUGCCUCUUUUGUUGAGUUGAAUGUUUUGUGUUCUUCUUUCCCCUCCAGAUACUGUCAUGAAGCCAAGAGACGAAGAUUAGAUGGAUUCCGGCCCCAGAAUUACCAACAAGAUUAUCGGAGGAUGUCUGACUAUAGACCUCCCUUGAGUUAUCACGGGCAAGGGCCAUCCGACCAUUACAGGCCUUUCCACCAAGAUAAAUCAGCCGAUUAUAAGCAACUCCUUCCCCCUCCUCACUCCCAGGUCCCUGACCCUCGCUCUCCAGCUUCUCAGAAAUCUCCACUUGGUGCCAAGUCUCCCAUUCAGCAUCGCUCACCUCUGGAUAGGCCCUUAGAUCAGAAGAACAAUCCAGAUUAUAACUGGAGUGGUCGGAAAACCUAG